UAGGGUCCCUGUGGUUUCACUCUCUUUAUGGAUCAGAUCCCCUUUGCCAAGAAACUCUAUGCCGACGAUGACACAACCACUGCCAUUACUACGAUCUUUGGUCGCCUUCCAAGAAUGUCCACCAUCGGCCUCCCUCUUCUUCCGCAAACACCCUCCCCCUGUUUUUCCAGGGACCUUCCCCUUUUGAACUCCGACAUUGAUCGAGAAACAAACUAGUGGCCACGGUGGUGGUUUUGGACGAGAAUCAAACACGUGAUGCUAAUUUGCGUUUGGGUUUCUUCUUCUCGGGCGAAUAAGAAAGCAAACAAAAAAGGCAUCGAUUUGGGUUUGGGUUUGUUCAUGGAUCGAUCAUGGCAAUCUCAGUUUCAUCCUUUUGUUUUUGCAUAUGGCAACAAAGCACAUCAUCACAUGAUUAUGUUCAUCAAGAAUCACAACCCACCUUAACCACAUAUGGCAAAAUGGAAACUAUCGAUCUAGAUUGAUGGAUGAAUCCACAAUCAAAAAUCAGGCAUCAAGAAUCUGGAUCAAUACCUCAUCUAUCUUGAACAACUUCUUUUGGGUUUUUUCUGUUAAAAAUGUUUAAUUAUCACAUAAUAUUGUUUGUUUAUCAUUCUAAUAUUACAUAUCUGGGUUCACCACUAUAAUGUGUCCAGAUUUGUGUUUAAAUAUGAAUUUCAUUAGGUACAAAUU